UAAUCCUAAGCAUAAAAUGAAAAGUUAAGAGUUGAAAAGAUCUACCCAAUGGGACGCAAUCCAACAGACAAGAAUGUCAUAUAGAAAACCCAUUUUCCCUUUGGACUAUUGAAUUAAACAAUAAUCAGCAACUAAUUAGCAAUAUCAAGCAAGGCAUCAAAUAAAGAUGACCACAUCCAAGCAAGCAACUUCACAGCUAACAAUCUUCUUUGUCUUCUCAAGUAUCAGAUGACAUACUC
rnacentral:lncRNA from 1 species